UACGGGGGGGGCAAGCGUUGUUCGGAAUUACUGGGCGUAAAGGGCUCGUAGGUGGCCAACUAAGUCAGACGUGAAAUCCCUCGGCUUAACCGGGGAACUGCGUCUGAUACUGGAUGGCUUGAGUUUGGGAGAGGGAUGCGGAAUUCCAGGUGUAGCGGUGAAAUGCGUAGAUAUCUGGAGGAACACCGGUGGCGAAGGCGGCAUCCUGGACCAACACUGACACUGAUGAGCGAAAGCCAGGGGAGCAAACCGGG
rnacentral:rRNA from 1 species